rnacentral:rRNA from 1 species
GACGGAGAAUGCCCCCAUGAUGGUGAUGAACCAGAGGAAUACUCUUGCACUUGCAACCUUGACUACUUGCUUCCUUUGGUAUUGACAUGCUUACUUCCGCAUUCGUAUCCUAGCAAAGACCCCCCAUAUUUUACAAUCACUGCCAAAUGGAUGGAUGGGUCCCAAGUUUCUCAGAUCUGUGAGAUGCUUGACGCCAUCUGGGCACAACUCGCGUGGCAGGAGGUGGUAUAUCAGUGGGUUGAGUGGAUCCGCAAUUCAUCGCUGUCACGCCUCUGGAUUGAUGGCAAAAUAAUAUUAGGUAUAGAGAGUCCAGCGAAGAAACCAGAUAACCGUGCUAUCUCAAGAGGCCUCCCAUUGGAUUAUGUAAUCCCUUCAAUGCUUAGCUACAGUAGUAAGAAGCGUCAUAAAGCUUUUCUUGAAGAUCUUCAUAUGUGCAUGAUAUGCCUUAAUGAGAGCAAUGGUUCAAACUUCAUCUAGCUGCCAUGUGAGCACCUGUUUUGUGUCAAGUGCAUGGAGACCUUAUGCAGGAUGCAUGUGAAGGAAGGUAGUGUGUUUCGAUUGGUGUGCCCCGACACCAAGUGCAACUCUUCUAUUCCACCACAUCUACUAAAGAAUCUUCUUAGGGAAGAAGAAUUUGAACGCUGGGAUAGGCUUGUUCUUGAGAAAGCAUUGACCUCGAUGUCAGACGUUGUUUACUGUCCAAGGUGUGGUAUUGCUUGCUUGGCGGACGAGGAUAAUAGUGUGCAAUGUCCAAAAUGUUCCUUUACAUUCUGCUCAGUUUGCAAGGACCCGCGCCAUCCAGGGAACUGUUUAAUUCCAGAACAAAAGCUCCGGCAGCGGCAGGCAUCAGGCAAGUUAACUGCGAGGGAGAUGGUGCAAGAAAUGCUAAUGAUCAGAAAGCUGUACAAGGAUGCUAGAGCAUGCCCAUACUGCCGAAUGGCCAUUAUCAAAACCGAAGGGUGCAACCACAUGUAUUGUGUGAACUGUGGUAAGUCAUUCUGCUUCCAUUGUGGCAAGGCCUUGGGUGGUGGCACUUUUGAUCAUUUGAGCAAAUGCGGGAUGUAUGCGCAACGAGAAGAUGACACAAAUGAUUUGCAGAAGCGACUGAAAGAACUACAAAUGAUGGAACGAAGGGCUCGAAAGGACUCGGUAGGUAGCACCGUAGAAUGCCCAAGCUGCCAUCGGAAAAUUUACAAGGAUGAUGAUGAAUAUAUUUACUGCUGGCAUUGCCAAGCUAGGUAUUGUACGUUGUGCCAGAAGCAGGUCCAGUUUACAAAGCAACAUGGGGCAGGGGGGCACUGGGGAUCACCGGAAUGGUGGGGGUAG